GUUUUUGUGGCACAUCCUCUGAUACAACCAUGUUCAGCAGGAGUCACUUGGCAACUUUCAGCUGGUGGAUGGAGUGAUCUGGAGGAUCUGCGAUUGUUUCACUCACAUGCCUGUUCGCAAGGCUGGCCGAAAGGCUGGGAUCAGCGGAGACUGUGAGGCAGAGAGCUCACCUACGGCGUCUCCAGCAUGGCAACCCCAGGGCAUCAGAACUUCUCACGUGGCACCUCAGGACUCCAGGAGUGACUGCUGCCACAAUCCAGGAGGCAGUGUAUGGCCUCUGUGACUUGGCCUCAGAAGUCACACCAUGUCACAUCCUUUCUAGUUUAUUGGCCGAGGCAGUCACAAGGCUGCCCAGAUUCAAGGAGAGGAGACAUAGACCUCUUAGAUGGAAGAGGCAUCAAAGAAUUUGCAGCCAUUUUUAAAACAGCCAGUUUUCUUUGACUGCAUGCUUUUAUUUUCCCCUGUAAUCAUUCUCAAAAUGAGAUCUCUUUAUAGUAGGUGAUGUCAAAUGACAUGGGGGAGUGUCUUUCUCAGGUCUCUUACUGGGAGGUACAGUACUGGUGUGGAUUCCUCCCCGCUGUGUGUAGAAGGCUCUCACCUGGGCUGCAUCAUUCUGGAUGCCACACUAUUACUGACCCAGUCUAAGACAUGAUUAAUCCCUUUGGAGACAAUGUCACAUUGCCAACCCACAUCAAGCUCACUGUAUACUGCAGUCCCAGCUCUUCUUCUUGCUUGCUUGGAAGCACCUGCCCUACCUGCCAGCUGCUAGUGACCCCCGACUCAUAAACAGUCCGUGCCACAGUCUUCUCAUGCUCAACACCAAACUCAUUUGAUUUUGAGUUGGUACAUUUUUGUUCUUCCUAUUUAUGAGGUUCCUCAAAUCCAGGCCCGGGGCAGGCAUCUCUGCUACUCCAUGACUGUCCAUGAGUCAUGGAGAGUGGCCCUGUGAUCUCAGAGGGGUUUUCAAAACCAGAGUGUGUUUGCCAACAAAAAUGAUCAACAUGGAUUGGAGGGGUGGAGAAGGAGUUACAGAGUCCAGAAAGUGAGCCAGCUAAAUCUCCAUCUUUGAAAAUGGAGAGGUUGUAGAUAAUGUCUGAAGUUGACAGAGCAAGGAAAAACAUUCUAUAAACAUAUUACUGUAUUUGGAGUUCUGCGGAUAGCCACUGAAAAACUGAGAAAAGAAAUGCUUCAAGCUGGUUGCCUUUGGAAAGAGCUGGGAGGAAGAGUGGGCUGGGAGAGCGACCAGCUCUCCUUAUACUCAGCCCUACAGUGCAAUGUAGUAUUUUACGUUGUGCAUGGAUUUUUGUAAUAAAAAAUAGUGAUGUGUAUUUGAAUAUUAAAACAUUAUACAACAA